AAUGAACGCUGGCGGCAGGCCCAACACAUGCAAGUCGAACGGAUCCUUCGGGAUUAGUGGCGGACGGGUGAGUAACGCGUGGGAACAUACCCUUUGGUACGGAAUAGCCUCGGGAAACUGGGAGUAAUACCGUAUGUGGUCGAGAGACGAAAGAUUUAUCGCCAAAGGAUUGGCCCGCGUUGGAUUAGGUAGUUGGUGGGGUAAUGGCCUACCAAGCCGACGAUCCAUAGCUGGUUUGAGAGGAUGAUCAGCCACACUGGGACUGAGACACGCCCCAGACUCCUACGGGAGGCAGCAGUGGGGAAUCUUAGACAAUGGGGGAAACCCUGAUCUAGCCAUGCCGCGUGAUCGAUGAAGGCCUUAGGGUUGUAAAGAUCUUUCAGGUGGGAAGAUAAUGACUGUACCACCAGAAGAAGCCCCGGCUAACUCCGUGCCAGCAGCCGCAGUAACAC
rnacentral:rRNA from 1 species